AAGAGGCAGAGGAAGAACUUGUAUAGAGGUAUCAGGCAACGCCCCUGGGGCAAAUGGGCCGCUGAGAUUCGCGAUCCAAGGAAAGGAGUACGCGUUUGGCUAGGCACCUUCAACACCGCCGAAGAAGCUGCUCGAGCCUACGAUAGGGAGGCCCGCAAAAUUCGCGGCAAGAAAGCCAAGGUCAAUUUCCCCAAUGAAGAUGACUAUCUCACUUCCCAAAAUCACCUUAAUCCGCCUCCUCAUGGGAAUCCCAAUCCCUCUCUGUAUCAACCCCUCACUUGUAAUUUCAGCAAUCCCCCAAAAAAUUAUGAAUUUGGGUUCGGUCGUGAUUUAAACCAUAUUGGAUCCUACGCUUCAAAUGGAAUAAAUACUGAACCUCUUUUCGUUUCUGGCGAGGAGAAUUCUGGAUCUGGUUCAGGGGAGGAAGCCUACCCAAUAAUUGGGCUAAUGAGCUGCAACCAGAAAGUAAGCAACAAUAAUUACGUAAGUGAAGUGAAAGUGAAACAGGAAGAGGAGAAAAUGGAGGUAGAGAAGGUGAACAAUGGGAAGGUAGUGGUAGUGGACGAGAAAUCUCAGC
rnacentral:misc_RNA from 1 species